ACUGGGCGUAAAGAGUUGCGUAGGUGGCAGAGUAUGUCUGUAGUGAAAGCGUGUGGCUCAACCAUAUACACAUUACAGAAACUGCUCAGCUAGAGGGCGAGAGAGGUUACUAGAAUUCCUAGUGUAGGAGUGAAAUCCGUAGAUAUUAGGAGGAAUACCGAUGGCGUAGGCAGGUAACUGGCUCGUCCCUGACACUAAGGCACGAAAGCGUGGGUAGCAAACGGGAUUAGAUACCCCGGUAGUCCACGCCGUAAACGAUGGAUGCUAGCUGUAAGAGGUAUCGACCCCUCUUGUAGCGAAGCUAACGCGUUAAGCAUCCCGCCUGUGGAGUACGGUCGCAAGACUAAAA
rnacentral:rRNA from 1 species